rnacentral:rRNA from 1 species
UACGUAGGGUGCAAGCGUUAAUCGGAAUUACUGGGCGUAAAGCGCGCGCAGGCGGCUUUGUAAGACAGGUGUGAAAUCCCCGGGCUCAACCUGGGAACUGCAUUUGUGACUGCACGGCUGGAGUGCGGCAGAGGGGGAUGGAAUUCCGCGUGUAGCAGUGAAAUGCGUAGAUAUGCGGAGGAACACCGAUGGCGAAGGCAAUCCCCUGGGCCUGCACUGACGCUCAUGCACGAAAGCGUGGGGAGCAAACAGG